rnacentral:Y_RNA from 1 species
GGCUGGUCCAAAGGUAGUGAGUUAUCCAUCUGAUUUCUCAGUCAGUUUCAGAUCAAACUCCUUGUCCUACUCUUCUCCUUCUUCUCAUUACUGCACUUGACUAGUAUAGA